GCCCGAGGUUCCGAGCUGGGCUUGGCUUUGCGCAGCGGUGCUGGUUUCUUGCGCCUUGGCGUUACUUGUGCAUGGGUGGGAGCUCGUAGGGUUGGAGUUUUUGCAUCUAUUUUUGUUACGUCUAUUUCUUUCGGGAUUAUUUUAAAAGAAGACAUGGUUAUCAAGGUCUUUAUUGCCUCGCAGUCCGGUUCCACGGCGAUCAAGAAGAAACAACAGGAUGUUCUAGGCUUCUUGGAAGCCAAUAAAAUAGACUUCAAAGAAAUGGAUAUAGCAGCAAAUGAGGAGAAUCGAAAGUGGAUGAGGGAAAAUGUUCCCGGGGAAAAGCGCCCUCAGAACGGUAUUCCUCUUCCGCCACAGAUAUUCAAUGAUGAGCUGUAUUGUGGGGAUUUCGAUGCUUUUUUCAAUGCCAAAGAGGAUAAUGGAGUUUACGCAUUUCUUGGCCUGACACCACCACCUGGUUCAAAGGAAGCACAUCAGGCUGCAAUCAUCCAGAACGGUGAAGUUCCAGAAAAUAAAGCAAUCCUUCCCUUGUGUAGAACCACUGAAGAUCAGCUCGGAGAAAGUAAUGAAAUGUUACAUAAUCACUUUGAGCGGUCAACAGACAUAAAUGAAAACAUUGAGAGCGAAACUGCAAAGAACAAGGAGACUGCUCAGCAAAUGGUUGAGCCAGAAGACGAUGUAGGAGAAUCUCUCAAGCCUGAGUCUACUCUUGAAGGCGAAUUGGUGGAAAAAGAGGACAAGGAAGAGGAGGAACCGGUUUCAGAGAAUGAAGAAGAGCAGCCUGUAACUGAGGUAGAUGAUCUGUCAACUCAUCUCAUCAUCUCAUUAAUCAUUGUUGUUUCCAUUUCAAUAUUUCAAAUGUAAUCUGGUUUUGUUUGAAUCUGGUAGAAUUGUUGGAAUGCAAUAUAGUUUAAAUUUUUGGAGUUCUAUCCAGAAUUUAAGUGGCUCUUUCAAGUUACAAAUAAAUUGUGUGUUUUAGCCAAGUUCAGACUAGUGCCCAGCUCUUCGGUGUGAAUGUCUUCUGCAAUGUCAUAGUGAAAUGUCUCUUGGUUGGGUGCGGGGGUAAAAUUGGCUGUUAAGAUUCAGACCUACUCUGGUCUAGUCAAGUUUGGGUUGCAUUUUCACUGUGUCCCAGGCAGACCUAUUGUGCUUUCUCCACAAAGAGCACUGCUGGGCUUUGACUUGCUAGUUGAACAGUAUUGCAACACACCUUGGUGGACAAAAUUCCUUUAUCUGGUCAAAAUAUCACUCAGUUCUGCAUAAGAAUAUUUUCAAUUUCCAAGAUUGGUAGCUUUCUUUUCAGUACAAUUUCAUCCACCACUCCCUCAUCAUUAUUGUUGUAUUGAAUUAUUCCAUGGUUAUUUUAUGGAGUAUUUUCUGUUCUGCUUUUAAGUUUUUCCUCUUCCUUUUUCUGUCACUCAUUUUUCCCCCUCCCCUCCCUACAUACGUUUCAGGAGGAGGAAGAUGAAGAACCACUGACUGAGGUAGUUUUGAGUCUUUCAACUCGAGCUUGACAAUGACAUACAUAAAAUGUGUUUAAAUACUGUAUAAGUGUGCAACCUGAUUGCACAUUUUCACAUUGGAUAUUAAAUGAUUAACUGACAAGUAUAAACUUUAAUAACUGAAAUGGUCUGUGUGCAUUUAGAGACACCUUGCAUUCUUUGAACUAUAGAAUGCAUUUUAAAUAUUUAAGUGUAUGGCAGUGUCAUCAUAAGGUAAUGAAAUUUAAUUUAAAGAAUAUUAUAUAAUUUUUGCCAUACAUCUUAAAUGAGAAUGACAUGAAUGGUGUUGGUGGCCAUAUUUUCUUUUAGUUACUGAUGUUUAUGUUCCAGGAAAUUUAAUGUAGUCGUUUAUUUUUUUUAUUUCUUGAUUAGGAUGAAGCGGAUGAAUCUUAAAACAAUGUUUUUGCUUUUGUAUGAUUUCCUCUGCAAGGGUUUAAGGAAGCAGAAGCUCUUGCAGAACAACAGCAAGUGUAGGAACUUGAACCAGGAACAUUGGACCACCCAUGGUAAUCACAGAAAAACAUUGGCGCUGCCCAAAAAAGUUCUUCAUUUCAACGCAUGAAUUUCAACAGAGGCAUAGCCUUCGAACCUCUACUCCCUUUCGCAAACGCUGAGCCUCAACCAAACUAGCCCCUCUGAUUUGUAGAUGAUUUAGAUUCAGUGGACUUUUUAGAUGCAAAUCUAAGUUUUUGGAAGUUAAUGCAAGCAGUCCCAUUUUCUAAGGCUUGGUUAAACUCUGCUUCUGUUUCUGAAAAUUUCUACCUUGCAAAUGCCAAUUAGAGCCUUAAAUCAAAGCUUUCCUCAAAAAAUACUGCCAAUUAUUGCAAAAUUUUGCAUCAUCUUAAUUAUGCCGUGUUGCCUAUUUUCCCCUCUUUUUAUCUGCCAGUGUUCCUUUCACUGAAAUUAGUUGCUGUGAAUGUUGGAGAGAGUAAUUACUGAUAAAUGAUGCAGUGGAUUUUUUUUAUAAAAUUGUCUUGUCUGUCA